rnacentral:rRNA from 1 species
AGUGAACGCUGGCGGUAGGCCUAACACAUGCAAGUCGAACGGCAGCACAGCAGUAGCAAUACUGUGGGUGGCGAGUGGCGGACGGGUGAGGAAUACAUCGGAAUCUACCUUUUUCGUGGGAGAUAACGUAGGGAAACUUACGCUAAUACCGCAUACGACCUACGGGUGAAAGAGGGGGACCGCAAGGCCUCACGCGAUUA